rnacentral:misc_RNA from 1 species
AUGAAUAACUUUGGCGUGGUUGUAGCUGGCUCUUAGGAGCAUGUGCACACCCGUCAUCUUUAUCUUUCCACCUGUGCACACUAUGUAGAUCUGGAUAACUCUCGCUCUUCUGAGCGGAAACAAGGAUUGCUGCGUCGCAAGGCCAGCUCUCUUUGAAUUUCCAGGUCUAUGUCAUUUACAAACCCCAAUUGAAUGAUGCAGAAUGUCGUCAAUGGGCUCUAAGCCUAUAAAACAAAUA